GCUUACGGCCAUACCAGCCUGGGUAUGCCCGAUCUCGUCUGAUCUCGGAAGCUAAGCAGGGUCGGGCCUGGUUAGUACUUGGAUGGGAGACCGCCUGGGAAUACCAGGUGCUGUAAGCA
rnacentral:rRNA from 1 species